rnacentral:pre_miRNA from 1 species
AGGCCUGGGCAGAUCAGCUGGUGUGGGGACCCGCUGCCCUGAUCCCGGGGCAAGGGUGGGUCCCCGCACCAGCUGAUCUGCCCCAGGCC